ensembl:lncRNA
AUUUAAAGCUUUUGAUUUGAUUGCAAAAUUGCCCUUUGGAAAGGUUAUCUUAAUUUAUAUUUCUAUCUUGUUUCUAAGUUUCUUCACUAGUGAUGGAAGAGUUAUCUUUUUUAAAAAAGUCUUUGAUAAAAUCAUUCUGGAAUUUUAGAGUGCUAAGAAGACAGAUACUUAAUUAGAUGAUGAGGUCCAUCUGUAUAAGUGGCAUAAACCAUAUUAAUGAAGAGAUCACCAGACCUUAUCGUAGGGUAGUGCCUUACUUGUGUGAAAUAAGAAUGUAGUUGGUACCUCCCACUUGGUAAGUCCCUGUGUCGGAGUGCAGCAUCAGUCCUUUCCCCCAAGCUUGUUUAUAUUAGCAGACACCCUUGUGGUUGUUUCUCACUUGUUUCUGUUUUAUUUCCUAACAAGAUAGCCACUGUUUAGGAGGGCCCUGACUGAGAAAGAGGUUAGCAUCAGGUGUUUUGCGUGAGUGAGGAACACAGGAGAGAACUCAACAAACACGUGAAAUAACAGAAGCAGACUUAUUACUUACGGAUCCCAGCAAGAAUAGGACAGUGUGCCUCGCAAGGCCAGGGGAAGGGGAGAGCCAUCAGCAGAUGGGAGCAGGAGAGAGGAAACAACAGACCUGGGAGCCUAAGUCUUUCCUGGGGUGCAAGUUGUCACCCAAGUAGGUUUCCCAUGGGAAGUUGUAAUUGGUGGGUUUAGAGCAAACAGGGAGGAGUCCCAUGGAUUCAUGCUGCAACUAAGAGGGGGUCUCUGAAGCAUGCCUGUGCAGUCUCUGUGGGUGUGGGGGUCAGUAUGGUUAGUCAAGAAAGAUGUAUGUAGCUGUCUUACAGUGUGAGGCAACACUAUACUGGAUCCAGCACACUGAGGAACUGGGAGGAGACGGAGCCUUGGAAUCUGUAUUGAGGGUGAUUAGCUCUGCUUCUGACAUCAGAAUGUUACACUUCGACUCAAAAUGGACACCGAAGCAACAUAAAAUGAAACUGAAAAAAAAAGACUGUGGCCAAUGCCCUCUCCUCACUCCUGACACUGGCAUCCCUUUGUGGUCCUGCAUGGCACACGGGACUUCACUUUUGCAGGAGAACUGUGAGUAG